GACGAACGCUGGCGGCGUGCUUAACACAUGCAAGUCGAACGAUGAAAGCUGGAGCUUGCUCCGGCUGGAUUAGUGGCGAACGGGUGAGUAACACGUGAGCAAUCUGCCCUUGACUCUGGGAUAACUCCGAGAAAUCGGUGCUAAUACCGGAUAUGACCCUUGGCGGCAUCGCUGGGGGUGGAAAGUUUUUCGGUCAAGGAUGAGCUCGCGGCCUAUCAGCUUGUUGGUGAGGUAAUGGCUCACCAAGGCGACGACGGGUAGCCGGCCUGAGAGGGUGACCGGCCACACGGGGACGGAGACACUGCCCAGACUCCUACGGGAGGCAGCAGUGGGGAAUACUGCACAAUGGGCGCAAGCCUGAUGCAGCAACGCCGCGUGGGGGAUGACGGCCUUCGGGUUGUAAACCUCUUUUAGCAGGGAAGAAGCGAAAGUGACGGUACCUGCAGAAAAAGCACCGGCUAACUACGUGCCAGCCGCCGCAGUAA
rnacentral:rRNA from 1 species